rnacentral:rRNA from 1 species
GAUGAACGCUGGCGGCGUGCCUAAUACAUGCAAGUCGAGCGAACAGACGAGGAGCUUGCUCCUCUGACGUUAGCGGCGGACGGGUGAGUAACACGUGGAUAACCUACCUAUAAGACUGGGAUAACUUCGGGAAACCGGAGCUAAUACCGGAUAAUAUAUUGAACCGCAGGGUUCAAUAGUGAAAGACGGUUUUGCUGUCACGUAUAGAUGGAUCCGCGCCGCAUUAGCUAGUUGGUAAGGUAACGGCUUACCAAGGCGACGAUGCGUAGCCGACCUGAGAGGGUGAUCGGCCACACUGGAACUGAGACACGGUCCAGACUCCUACGGGAGGCAGCAGUAGGGAAUCUUCCGCAAUGGGCGAAAGCCUGACGGAGCAACGCCGCGUGAGUGAUGAAGGUCUUCGGAUCGUAAAACUCUGUUAUUAGGGAAGAACAAAUGUGUAAGUAACUAUGCACGUCUUGACGGUACCUAAUCAGAAAGCCACGGCUAACUACGUG